rnacentral:lncRNA from 12 species
CUGAAAACAGUUGCUAUGUCCUGUUGCCAUGACAACCCACUCAGGAAAGUACCUAGGUGCCAGACUUAGAUGUUUUUUUUUUUUUUUUUUUUCUUUUUGGGUCCCAGAGGAGUACCAGAGUGAGUUCAUAACUCUUUUAUUGCUACCUGGAGAGAAGCCUUUCCCACUCAGUGUGGCAUCCAAUGGCAGAUCAACACUCUUGGAAUGGUGCUCUGGCUUUCCUUGCAGUAAAUUUGGAGUUUGGAGAAAGAAUCCUCUGAAGAGCUAAAGCAUCUCUUGCCCGGGAAGAGGUACUCAAAGGAAGAGCAUUAUUGAACUGCACUGUUUUCUCCUGUCUGAAGCUAACCCCAGCAUGCCUAGUAGGAAAACUGCUGGGGAUUAUGGCUGGGACUUGGCAGAGGAUGGAGGAGCAGAAUUGUGUAGCUGCAUGGAUCAUUCACCAGCCCAAUUCCCUCUUGUCAGUAUGCUAAUAUGCACCUCUUGGAACUUCUAUGCUCCGAUAAUACAGCCAACACAGGAGAAUGGCAGAAGAGCAGAGCUGGAGGCCUUCCCUUCCUUCCACUUCUGGAGGUACUUGCCUCAUUCAGUGAGAUAAGGACUCUAUUUUUGUUUAUAACCAACAAUUAUAAUUAAUUUUGUGUACUUAAGAAAAGACAUAGUACUAUAGAUUUUUCCUCCCUAGGGCCACAUAUAUCUUUAAGUACACAUAACAUACAACCCAAAGGGAAGGAGAUUGGAAUCAAACUGGAAUCAGUCAGAAAAAUAGAUGUGCACAAAGGCAUAGAGGUUAGGAAGCUUGGUAUAUUCAAGGAAUGCUCAGGGUUCAUUAGUUUUCAGGGAUGAAUAAUUAUGGCACAGUCAUGGUAGGUAAAGAUAGGUGGGCAAGGGGAAAGUAGGAAUAGAUUCUGAAAGCCCUUGGUUGGCAUACCAUGACUGAGUUCAUUUGUUUGUUUGUUUGUUUUUUUUAAAGAUUUGAUUUAUUUAUUUGAGAGAGAGAGAGAAAGAGAGUGAGAGAGCAUGAGCAUUCAGGGAGGAGCAGAGAGAAGCAGAGUCUUUGCUGAGCAAGGAUCCCAAUCUUGGGCUCAACUUAGACCUUGGGAUCAUGACCUGAGCCAAAGGCAGAUGCUUAACUGACUGAGCCACCCAGGUGCCCCAAGACUGUAGACCUUAUCCCAGAAGUAAAAGCAUGAACUCUAUCAACAAUCUCUGAAGAUGGUCAUGUACCUCCCAUUUGAGUAGCACUCAUGGAUGCCUUGCUAGAGUAAGUAUUCAGGCUGAAUUCCUUGUUUAAUAAUAAUAUACCCUUAAUUACAACAUAUUGUAAUUUUCUGCGUAUAUUGUUUUAAAUGUUUGUAUUAAGACAUCCUACUAUAAUAUUAGGAAAUAGAGGUGGUGAUUUGUAAGAUAAGUGGGAGAGGAACUGCUAAAUCCCAAAUGGAUUCUGUAAAGGUCAGUUUAUCUUUGCAAUUCUCAAAAGGGUUAGAAAUUCAAAAGCUCCUACAUCCUCACGAGAAACAGUAAUGAUAAAGUAAAAGGCUAGACGGACCUAUUAUUUUAGAUAGAAAAGAUAGCAGGAUUAACUCCAUGCUCUUUUG